AGUGAACGCUGGCGGUAGGCCUAACACAUGCAAGUCGAACGGCAGCACAGUAAGAGCUUGCUCUUACGGGUGGCGAGUGGCGGACGGGUGAGGAAUACAUCGGACUCUACUUUUUCGUGGGGGAUAACGUAAGGAAACUUACGAUAAUACCGCAUACGACCUACGGGUGAAAGCAGGGGAACUUCGGACCUUGCGCGAUUGAAUGAGCCGAGGUCGGAUUAGCUAGUUGGCGGGGUAAAGGCCCACCAAGGCGACGAUCCGUAGCCGGUCUGAGAGGAGGGUCGGCCACACGGGAACGGAGACACGGUCCAGACGCCUGCGGGAGGCAGCAGUGGGGAAUAGGGGACAAUGGGCGCAAGCCUGAUCCAGCCAUACCGCGUGGGUGAAGAAGGCCUUCGGGGUGUAAAGCCCUUUUGUUGGGAAAGAAAAGCAGCAGGUUAAUACGCCGCUGGUCUGACGGUACCGAAAGAAUAAGCACCGGCUAACUUCGUG
rnacentral:rRNA from 1 species